CACGUAGGGUGCGAGCGUUGUUCGGAAUUACUGGGCGUAAAGGGCUCGUAGGCGGCCAACUAAGUCAGACGUGAAAUCCCUCGGCUCAACCGGGGAACUGCGUCUGAUACUGGAUGGCUUGAGUUCGGGAGAGGGAUGCGGAAUUCCAGGUGUAGCGGUGAAAUGCGUAGAUAUCUGGAGGAACACCGGUGGCGAAGGCGGCAUCCUGGACCGACACUGACGCUGAGGAGCGAAAGCCAGGGGAGCAAACGGG
rnacentral:rRNA from 1 species